GUCUACUAGAGUUUAUUUGUAGUCUAGCCUGCUCAGUGAUAUUAAUAUUAAAUAGCCGCGGUAUUUUGACCGUGCAAAGGUAGCAUAAUCAUUAGUUUUUUAAUUGAAAGCUCGUAUGAAUGGUUGGACAAAGAAAUAGCUGUCUCUUUUGUUAAAAUUGAAUUUAACUUUUAAGUGAAAAGGCUUAAAUCGCCCGGGGGGACGAUAAGACCCUAUAAAGCUUUAUAAAUUCAAGAAUUUUAUAUAUUUAGUAUAAAAAUAAUUUUCUCGAUGUUUAUUUGGUUGGGGCGACAAAAGUAUAAUUUUGAAUAACUGCUAGUUCAGACAUACAAAAAUCUCUGAUUUAUAAAUAAUGGAUCCCUUUAUGAGGAUUAAAAGUUCAAGUUACUUUAGGGAUAACAGCGUUAUUUUUUCUGAGAGUACUUAUCGAAGAAAAAGUUUGCGACCUCGAUGUUGAAUUAAAAUGUCUUUAUAGUGCAGCAGCUAUAAAAGAAGGUCUGUUCGACCUUUAAUAUUUUACGUGAUCUGA
rnacentral:rRNA from 1 species